UACGGGAGGCAGCAGUGAGGAAUAUUGGUCAAUGGGCGAGAGCCUGAACCAGCCAAGUAGCGUGCAGGAUGACGGCCCUAUGGGUUGUAAACUGCUUUUAUACGGGGAUAAAGUGAGGGACGCGUCCCUUUUUGUAGGUACCGUAUGAAUAAGGACCGGCUAAUUCCGUGCCAGCAGCCGCGAAGG
rnacentral:rRNA from 1 species